rnacentral:rRNA from 1 species
AUGGCCACCGCAGCGUCGAGAUACGCUGCCACCGCGGAAUCCGUGGAUUUCUCCUCGGACCCCGAGCAGGCGAGGCGGCGAGUGAACGCCUUCGUCGCCGGCGUGACGGACGGGCGCAUCCGCGACGUCCUCCUGCCCGGCUCGGUCGGUGCGUCCACGCGAGUCAUCCUCGCCAACGCGCUCUACUUCAACGGGACGUGGUCUCAGCCGUUCGACCAGUCGGCAACCUUCACCGCGCUGUUCCACGUCCCAGACGGAGCCAUCGUGCGCGCGCCGUUCAUGACGACGGGCCGGUUCCCGUUCGAGCAGCAUGUCGCCGUCUACCGGGGCUUCAGGGCCCUCAAGCUGUCCUACAAGAACGACGACGACCACGUGGGGCCGCGAGCCGAGGCAGCAUUAUACAUGCUUCUCCUCCUCCCGGACGGCGCCGCUCUCGGCCUCGCCGAUCUCUACGACAAGUCGGUCGCGACGCCGGGGUGCCUCAAGAGCCACACGCCGGCGGCCCAGGUCCUGGUCGGGCGGUUCAUGGUCCCGAAGUUCAAGUUCACGUUCGAGUUCGAGGCGUCGUCGGACAUGCGGAAGCUCGGGGUCACCAGGGCUUUUGGAGGCGGCGACUUCUCGGGCAUGGUGAGCGGCGGGGAUGGGCUCUUCAUCACGGGCAUGUACCAUAAGGCCACCAUCAAGGUGGACGAGCAGGGCACCGUGGCCGCCGCAGCAACGGCCGUGGGGAUCUAG